AUCCCUGUAGCGCAAUGGAUAGCGUUGGAUUUCUAAUCCAAAGGUCGUUGUCUCGAAUACCACCUGGGAUG